CCGGCGUAUAUAGAUGGAGUCGUUCCAUCGGUCCACGGUCGCAGUCCCAACACACGAGACCAAUACUUUUCACUUUCACGUACGCAAGUUUGGACAGGAGUGGAUGCUUCUGAACUUGAACUUGGAUCCCGUGACUUAAAGUCACAGGUGAGACCGGGUCCACAUGUCAGCGACCGUGAAGUCAUUGACUUUAAAUCAGAGGAUCCUUCUCCGAUGCUUCUUGACUUACGUUUUUCUCUUGAGAUUUUUUCUCUUGCUAACCGAAAUGCCCGUGCGUUGCAACGAGACAACAAAAUAAAUUGUACACUUGAAAAUACGUAUUAAAUUUUGUUCUCUUUGGUCUUUUUUUAAUGAGCACCAAACACCAGUAGAUUUAGGAUUUUCCCUGCAUUUUCUGAUAGAUCCCACAUAUCAAUGGCACAUUUUUUUUUCUUUUUUUCCUCUCGUCACACCACCUCCCCCAACUUGUCUCGUGUGGUACAAAUACAAUGUUACAAACAUAUUUCUACGAAGGCUCAAACAUCAAUUGCAUUCAGAUUUUUGUACAUUAUAUAUUCCUAAUUCAAGCAAUAUGGAAAGUAAUCAACCUGCACUGCCUCUCAAUCCUACCCGCAGGAGUAUCACUUGAUCUGGACCAGUACAGCAUGUUCAAUUGAGGUUUAUUAAUUUCAACACAAUUAACUCAAUUCUUGGAUACAAAAAAACACAAAGUUCAAAAGCUAUUUUCAAGAGCUCCAAAAAAAGCUAUUUUCAGGAGAGAUGAAAUUGGCAGUUGUAAACUCGUGCAUAACUGAUCACCUCCAUCAUCGGUGCAGACGUGCGCGU
rnacentral:lncRNA from 1 species